UAGGGAAUCUUCGGCAAUGGGGGGAACCCUGACCGAGCAACGCCGCGUGAGUGAAGAAGGUUUUCGGAUCGUAAAGCUCUGUUGUUAAGGAAGAACGAGUGUGAGAAUGGAAAGUUCAUGCUGUGACGGUACUUAACCAGAAAGGGACGGCUAACUACGUGCCAGCAGCCGCGGUAAUACGUAGGUCCCGAGCGUUGUCCGGAUUUAUUGGGCGUAAAGCGAACGCAGGCGGUUAGAAAAGUCUGAAGUGAAAGGCAGUGGCUCAACCAUUGUAGGCUUUGGAAACUGUUUAACUUGAGUGCAGAAGGGGAGAGUGGAAUUCCAUGUGUAACGGUGAAAUGCGUAGAUAUAUGGAGGAACACCGGUGGCGAAAGCGGCUCUCUGGUCUGUAACUGACGCUGAGGCUCGAAAGCGUGGGGAGCGAACAGG
rnacentral:rRNA from 1 species